AAAGGAAUAGACGGGGACCCGCACAAGCAGCGGAGCAUGUGGUUUAAUUCGAAGCAACGCGAAGAACCUUACCAAGUCUUGACAUAUUUCGGAGGGAUUUAGAGAUAAAUUCUUAUGACUUCGGUCAACUGAAAUACAGGUGGUGCAUGGUUGUCGUCAGCUCGUGUCGUGAGAUGUUGGGUUAAGUCCCAUAACGAGCGCAACCCCUAUCGUUAGUUACCAUCAUUAAGUUGGGGACUCUAGCGAGACUGCCGGUGAUAAACCGGAGGAAGGUGGGGACGACGUCAAAUCAUCAUGCCCUUUAUGACUUGGGCUACACACGUGCUACAAUGGCAGGUACAGAGGGCAGCGAAAUUGUGAAAUGAAGCGAAACUCACAAAGCCUGUCUCAGUUCGGAUUGCACUCUGCAACUCGAGUGCAUGAAGUUGGAGUUGCUAGUAAUCGUGGAUCAGCAUGCCACGGUGAAUGCGUUCCCGGGUCUUGUACACACCGCCCGU
rnacentral:rRNA from 1 species